AUCACAGUUCCCUCGCGUGGGAGUGACACAGGCUUGUACAACACCUGCGUCCCGUGAAAACCUUGUACCUACGAAGAACUCGACCUACUGGGAACUGAAACAAACUGGCUCAUUUUCCAGCUGACAUCAGCGCCGUUCUGAAUCGGUACAAUUGUCCCAGAAUGGCCCUCAUGGGAGUUCUUCCGUAUUUGGAUGACUAUUUGGAAAAAAGGAGAAGCAGGAAAAGAAGGGAGAAAAGGCUCAAUUUCUCUUUCUCUACUCUGUCUCUUCGUCUGCUGCGCUUGUACCAUCUCAGAGUGUCUCUGUGGAGUUAAAGCAGGGACUAGCAGCUACUGCACAAGUACAGGUUGUGAAAAGACAUCAGCUCUGUGCCUGUGAACACGUACACGUAUACAAAACACACACACACACACAUAGGUAAGUGAAACUACAGUGGGUGAGAAAAGGCCACCAGAACAUUAAAUUAAAUUUGAUCAGAUGAGAACUCACGCUUCAUGGCCUCCGGUGGUAAAAGCUAGUCAGAAAAUAAAGGCAAACAGUUAACAAUACAACCAUAGCCCUAAUCAGUCUCAGAGCACACAGUACAUGGCUGGCCGCUGAUACUGUAGCCAAAUAAACACAAGGCCACUUUAAAGCCAUUUUCACGCUCAAGUGAUAGCAUUAUCAAUGCAACAUUUGCUAAAGUAAUGGAGAUAUUACAAGCCUAAAUCACGCUUUUGAGCACCACCAUGUAUUGAUGUGGACCUUGUGAUAAUGUUUCUCCUCAGCCUCUUCAAAAGAAGGUCAUGCUCUGGCCUGACCAGAGGAUUACAGUCCAAUUGAAAAAAAGACACUUCAUGGAUGUGUGCAUUGUUUGUAUGGUGUGCUGCAUUAAAAUGUAUUUGCUGUCAUUGUCA